AGCAAUAUAGAUGUGCCGUGCAAUAGCAGAAAUGGCAAUCUGUAUCAAAAGCCGAAAGCAAAAAAGAAAUAAGGGAGCUUUAGAGGGUGUAUUCAAUUAGGAUUGUAUACGAUUUUGAAAGAUUUUUUUUAAGUGACAGAUUUCCUGGAAUUGUAUAACUCCUAUAGGUUUUACUCAGAUUUUUAAUAAACUUGUAUAAACUUUUAUUAUAGACUUCCAUACUUUUGUAUGAACUUUUGUUAUAGAUUCAGAUCUAUUUGCAUAGACUUUAUCACUCUUUCUUCCCAACACUAUUUUCUUUAGCCACAAGUCGACCAUCCCUUUUUUUUUCUUUUCCCAAAUUCUUCCUCUACUUGCAUGCACAACAAUGAAUUUCCCUUUGAAAUUUCCACGGACUGAAAACUUUCACACCUAAACAGUAAGAACAUCGAACUCUAUGUCCAAUAUUCAAUACCAAAAAAAAAUAAAAACAAAAACAAAACAACCCUUUGUCCAAAAAGCAAGGGCCCUAUCAUUUGGUAGUGUUAUGGGUGAUGGAAAUAUAUCUCUACCCAAGCUUUCCAC
rnacentral:lncRNA from 1 species